rnacentral:rRNA from 1 species
UACGUAGGGUCCGAGCGUUGUCCGGAAUUACUGGGCGUAAAGAGCUCGUAGGUGGUUUGUCGCGUUGUUCGUGAAAACUCACAGCUCAACUGUGGGCGUGCGGGCGAUACGGGCAGACUUGAGUACUGCAGGGGAGACUGGAAUUCCUGGUGUAGCGGUGGAAUGCGCAGAUAUCAGGAGGAACACCGGUGGCGAAGGCGGCAUUCUGGACCGACAUUGACGCUGAGGAGCGAAAGCCAGGGGAGCAAACGGG